GACGAACGCUGGCGGCGUGCUUAACACAUGCAAGUCGAGCGGUAAGGCCCUUCGGGGUACGACGAGCGGCGAACGGGUGAGUAACACGUGGGUGACCUGCCCUCAGCUCUGGGAUAAGCCUGGGAAACUGGGUCUAAUACCGGAUAUGACUCCAUGACGCAUGUUGUGGGGUGGAAAGCCUUGUGCGGCUGAGGAUGGGCCCGCGGCCUAUCAGCUU
rnacentral:rRNA from 1 species